rfam:Haemophilus parahaemolyticus HK385 contig00018, whole genome shotgun sequence.
AAUUUUUAGUCGGGGUGCCGAAAGGCUGAGAUGAUACCCGUGAACCUGAAACAGUUAGCACUGACGUAGGAAACUAAUAUGCCACAUAU